ACGAACGCUGGCGGCGUGCUUAACACAUGCAAGUCGAGCGAUGAAGCUCCUUCGGGAGUGGAUUAGCGGCGGACGGGUGAGUAACACGUGGGUAACCUGCCUCAUAGAGGGGAAUAGCCUUCCGAAAGGAAGAUUAAUACCGCAUAAGAUUGUAGUUUCGCAUGAAACAGCAAUUAAAGGAGUAAUCCGCUAUGAGAUGGACCCGCGUCGCAUUAGCUAGUUGGUGAGGUAACGGCUCACCAAGGCGACGAUGCGUAGCCGACCUGAGAGGGUGAUCGGCCACAUUGGGACUGAGACACGGCCCAGACUCCUACGGGAGGCAGCAGUGGGGAAUAUUGCACAAUGGGGGAAACCCUGAUGCAGCAACGCCGCGUGAGUGAUGAAGGUCUUCGGAUUGUAAAACUCUGUCUUCAGGGACGAUAAUGACGGUACCUGAGGAGGAAGCCACGGCUAACUACGU
rnacentral:rRNA from 1 species